rnacentral:lncRNA from 1 species
AGAUGAAGAACUGAGACUCAGAAAGCAUAAGUCGACUUGUCUGACCCCAGAGAUAUUUUGCAUCAAACAUCUUCCAGAGUGGCAGGAUUCCUUGGGAGUAGCCCAAGCUUCAUUUGAUGAAGAUCACUCAUUGGAGAAUCUGUCUUUGAACCUGACAGAGGAAAACAAGGUACUAAAUAAGUAAGGACUUUGGAUCCUCAGAGUUGGAAGGGCCCAAACUACCUAGUUUGUCCCACCUGUUUUAGAUGUGGAAACUCUUGGGUCAACACCAGAAGAGUAAUAACCACCACUGUGCUCUUGACGUGGAUUAUCUCAAUGAUUCUGAAAAUUUCAUCACUGUGGGCUCCUUUUAUAAUUUUGGACAUAUUUGAAUGUUAUUGAUACUAUGAUCUACUUAAUGCUGUUCUCCCCUUUAAAUGGAUCUGCUUUUAAAACCUAAAUCCAUUUACUCACACAGAAAAUUUUAUACUAUUUCUGUGAAUAGAAAACCACUAACCAUAAAAAUUAUUCCAAUAAAAAAGAAAAUAUGUAUUAAGUUCUACCUAGACACUGUUGCCUGCAGUGGGACUCUGAGCCUGAAGUCUUCACUCCCUUUGUUAAAACACAGAGAACAAAACAACAAAAAUAAUUAGUACUUGUUAGGCAUUAAAGACACAAUAGCAUCAACUGGAGACUUUCUUGACGUAAUUAGAAGAAUUCAAAGAGAGCUAAAAAGGACCUAAUACACUUACUGUUUGAGUCAGUGCUAUUUAAUGCCUUGUCUGUGCAUUAUUUCAAAUCAUUUUCAAUACCACCCGUGGUCUCUGCACCUCUGGAAACACCCCAUUAUCUUAGCUCAUCCUCGCAAUAAUCCUAUGAGGUAAGUACUAGCACUAGGACUAGUUAGUACUGCCCCAUUUGUUGGAUGCACAGCCAGUCAGGCACCCCUGCUCUCUCUGUCUCCAGGGUGCCUGACCACAGUGAUAUUCUGUUCUGUGUUGCAACUACCCAUAAAAAGAGCCUUUGGCAGCAUCUUGUGGGUCCCCAUAAAUCUUGCAGGUCCAGAUGUCCAUCCAGGAAUAAACUCCACUGCAUGGAGCCCCAUGGUGAGACGGACUGCAGGCUUGCAGCCCCACACCUAUGCACCGGCAACGUGCCCCCAGGAACACAGGACCAACUCCAAAUUUGGGAAUGAAGAUAAUGUUCAGGGGAACACAGGACCAACUCCAAAUUUGGGAAUGAAGAUAAUGUUCAGGUAGGAAAGGAGGAGUGCACAGGAGAGGAAGGAAGUGAAAGCAAGUGGUGGAGAGGACAAGGGGAGCCUCAGGGUCCUCAUUUGGAAAAUGGGGCAAGAAGACCUGCUUCACAGGAUGGUUGAUUGUUGGGAGGAUUUGAACACAUAGCAGGUGAUUCACUCUCCCUCUCCCCUCCCUCCUCUCUCCUCUGGCCCAUGUCUGUCCCCCUCCCCUCCUCUCCGCUCCUCUUCUUUCCUCUCCUCACCUCCCCUCUCUUCUCCUCCCCUCCCUUCCCCUCUUCCCUUCUCUCAUCCCCUCUUCUCCCCUUCCCUCACC